UCGAAGAACCAAUGGCAGAUAAGUCGACAUAUUCCACGGCUAAGAACAAGGAUACAGGACCACCAGACAGGGUGAGGAUCUAAGCGCUAUCCGACAUUUUUGCUCAACGUAAUUCUACGCAGAAUGUACUCAACAUCCGAAAUAUUUCUAAAAAUAAUCAAAGUCAAUCAAAUCAUUUCUUCAAAGUAAAUGUUUGGUGCGGAAAACCUGCGUCAUGAGCAUCUUAUUUUACCAGUGUUUUCUGGGUAUCUUAUUCUCCUCCUACACUGUUUGAAAAAGUAUACUGGGCUCCCAUGGUUACUGGAGAUGAGAUUUAGCCAACUGCAUCUCUUCUUUCGGGUCGAAUUUGGCUACAUAUCAAUACAUUGGACUCGAUCUCUCCUUUCGAAGCUUUUACCAGAUUUCAAUGGAUUGGACUUCAGUUGACGUAUUCGGAGAAGAAGAACAUGCGAACAAUCUGACCACUUUCGGCUGUUCAGAACCCUCAGAAGAAGUUGAUUUGAAUCGCACAGCUUUCGUGGAAAAACUGCAAAUUCGCGCCAGAACAACCAAGGUUACGUAAGACAGGAUGCAAUAAAAUUUGGCCGAAACCGGAAAAUACGUCAAAGGAAAAGUUUGAGCAUUGCCUCCAAGAAAUUAGUCUUUUUUCUCUAAGGAAGAAACUUAUUCACAAGAAAAAAGCAAAGAUGCUUUGCGAAUGGAAGACUAUAACAUAAACCAUAAAG